rnacentral:rRNA from 1 species
UACGUAGGGUGCGAGCGUUGUCCGGAAUUAUUGGGCGUAAAGGGCUCGUAGGCGGUUUGUCACGUCGGUUGUGAAAGCCCGGGGCUUAACCCCGGGUCUGCAGUCGAUACGGGCAGGCUAGAGUUCGGUAGGGGAGAUCGGAAUUCCUGGUGUAGCGGUGAAAUGCGCAGAUAUCAGGAGGAACACCGGUGGCGAAGGCGGAUCUCUGGGCCGAUACUGACGCUGAGGAGCGAAAGCGUGGGGAGCGAACAGG